rnacentral:rRNA from 1 species
GAGUCUAGCAUGCACGCGAGUCAUCGGGAUAAAACUAAACCCGUAGGCGUAGUGAAAGCAAACGAUCGUCUCGCGCGAUCGGAGGGAGGAUGGGUUGUGCGCUUUAACCGGCGUUAGCCUCGCACUCCCGGGGCGUCUCGCGGUCAUCGCGACCUGAGGCGCACCUAGAGCGUGCACGCUGGGACCCGAAAGAUGGUGAACUAUGCCUGGUCAGGACGAAGUCAGGGGAAACCCUGAUGGAGGUCCGUAGCGAUUCUGACGUGCAAAUCGAUCGUCGGAACUGGGUAUAGGGGCGAAAGACUAAUCGAACCAUCUAGUAGCUGGUUCCCUCCGAAGUUUCCCUCAGGAUAGCUGGCGCCCGUACGUUUCGAGUCUCAUCCGGUAAAGCGAAUGAUUAGAGGCAUUGGGGUCGAAACGGUCUCAACCUAUUCUCAAACUUUAAAUGGGUGAGAUCUCCGGCCUGCUCGAUCGAGGCCGGAGAUCGGAUCAGGGUGCCAAGUGGGCCACUUUUGGUAAGCAGAACUGGCGCUGUGGGAUGAACCAAACGCAGUGUUAAAGCGCCCAAAUCGACGCUAAUGGGACACCAUGAAAGGCGUUGGUAACUUAAGACAGCAGGACGGUGGCCAUGGAAGUCGGA